UUAAUAUAUAUAUAUAUAUAUAUAAAGGUAAUUCUCCAUUGACGGUCCUAUUUACCGUUCAGUAGGUCUGUGGCUUUAGCAAGAGUUUGCAUUACAUCAACCUGAGCUCGAAGAGAUAUUAUAUAGUCUAGGGUUUCUUCAAUCAAAGAGAUAUCAUCCAUAAAUUCACCUCCAGGUACAAGACUCUUCAAGACUUGUGUUCUUUUCUUUACCAUCUUUUUUGCAAUAGAUUUAGCAAGCACCGAUAGAGGCACACUACUUCUUACUCUUCUAGCACGGCGACUCUUUCUCAAGAUUUUCUUGCUUCUAAUAAUAACCCACUUGUUGGGUGCGAUUAGUCCAAUUGAUGAAACCUUCUUUAGCUUCUCAGACUCAGAAGCUAACAUACGCUCAACAAGGACUUUAUCACCAUAAUCUCUUGAAGCUUUUGCAACAAGAGCACGACUCCAACAAGUCAUACCAUUUCUUGUGGAAGCUAUAGCAAUGUCUGCCGAUAGCUUUAUUGCCUUCUUUCUUUCCAACAUGCUCAUGUUCUGCUUUGCAAAAUCACAUAACUGGAGACCCAAUAUCCAUUUCUUGAGGAAUUCUUGCUUGAUUGACUGAGGAGCACGCAUUCUUACUGUAAGACUCCUUUCCUAUUGAUUAAGAGGAAGAGGAGGAGGACAAAAUCACGAGAAAAGCUUAUAAAUAUACAUGUGAGAGAGACAAGUUGCAGAAUAAUGCAGUUCUAGCGUUCCACAGAUCCAAGAAAGUGAAUAACAAUCAUAGAAUGAAGUUUCAGAGAGAAAGAGAGAGAGAGGGAGGAAUAGAGAAAGAAAAGGAAAGAGUGA
rnacentral:misc_RNA from 1 species